rnacentral:rRNA from 1 species
AUUGAACGCUGGCGGCAGGCUUAACACAUGCAAGUCGAGCGGGGGAAGGUAGCUUGCUACCGGACCUAGCGGCGGACGGGUGAGUAAUGCUUAGGAAUCUGCCUAUUAGUGGGGGACAACAUCUCGAAGGGGAUGCUAUACCGCAUACGUCCUACGGGAGAAAGCAGGGGAUCUUCGGACCUUGCGCUAAUAGAUGAGCCUAAGUCGGAUUAGCUAGUUGGUGGGGUAAAGGCCUACCAAGGCGACGAUCUGUAGCGGGUCUGAGAGGAUGAUCCGCCAAACUGGGACUGAGACACGGCCCGGACUCCUACGGGAGGCAGCAGUGGGGAAGAUUGGACAAUGGGGGGAACCCUGAUCCAGCCAUGCCGCGUGUGUGAAGAAGGCCUUAUGGUUGUAAAGCACUUUAAGCGAGGAGGAGGCUACUUUAGUUAAUACCUAGAGAUAGUGGACGUUACUCGCAGAAUAAGCACCGGCUAACUCUGUGCCAGCAGCCGCCGUAA